CGACGACGACGAUGAUGAUGGUGAUGGGGGUUGGUGGUGGUGGUGAUGAUAAUCGUCAUCAUCACCACCAUCAUCAUCAUCAUCAUCAUCAUCGUCA
rnacentral:pre_miRNA from 1 species